GCAAAUGAAAGCAGUACAAAUGAAAUAUACGAAGUAAUAAGCAUAUGAAAAGUGAUCCCCUCUCUCCCUCUCUCUCUCUCUCUCUCUCUCUCUCUCUCUCUCAAUCUUUCUGAGACUCGAAGCAUUACGUUUCUCUCUCUAGAAGACUGUCAUUCACAGAACCAGGGUUUUGAAGCAUCGUUUGAGAAUUUGGGAUGGAGAAUGCGGCCGGGAUUUUUGUUGAUAACUCAAAUAUGCCAGAGGAAAAAAGUGUGGAAGUUGGCGUUUCUGAGGAGAGGAUAGAGGAGAAGGCAGUUUUGGGGUCUGAUGGAUUGAAUGAAUUAGAAGGGGAGGAGGUUUUUGAGGAGGCAAUGGAUGUCCAGGAACAUUUACAGGAGCAAGGGACGAAAGCUAGUUUUUGGGAUGAUGCUGUUGUAGGUGAAAAUAGGAAGUCGGAGACGAUUAAUGAUUUGGGUUUGGAAGGGGUUGAUAAGAGUCCUUCUGGUGGUCAUGAGUUUGAGAAGUUCGAAGAGGCAAUUGGGGUUCUGAUUGAGGUUGGAAAACAUGAGGAAGAGGACGAGGCAGUUGUGAUUAAUGAAGGGAAAGUAAGAGAUUUGGUUGGUGGGAACAGUGUUGAUGGAACUGAAAUGACAAGUGGGAUUGAUGAUGGUGGGACUGAUAUAAAACCAAUGACCAAUGAAGUGAAUGGAUCGGAUGAUGGAUUGGUUGUCAGCAGAGAUGAUGGGGGGAAGGAGAAUUUCGAGAUUGGUGCUAAUGGAGAAAUAGAAGCUACCAAAAGUGGGGACAAGAUUGAUAUAAAGGAUGAAAUUCACCUAGAAACUGCAUCCACUAUGGAGAUUCUGGAGAAAGCUACUAGUGUCCAGGAAUUAGAUAUAAAUACCUUGGUCACUGAAGGUCAAGAUGGCGGGAAAGGGGAGCUGCAAAACGCCUCAUCUAGUCCUAGUUUGAAGCUACAUGAUGAUAAGGGCAUGAAAAGGGAUGAAGAAAACAUCUAUAGUGAAUAUCGGGAACUUGAUAGCAAUGAAUUGAAAAAUGUUACAGUUAGUGUUGAUGCGAUACAUGGUGAGGAUAAUAGUUUGGAGCUGAGUAAUACUAAUAGAGACCAUAAAGAUUACAGAAAUGGGGAUGUGAAAGAAGAUGCUGCUGAUGGACUGCUUUUGGAGCAUGAUGGGGAAUCUGGAGAAAUGAAGAACACGUUAUCUGACCUACAGACAUCUGUUGAGGAAAGGUCAGUAAAAUCAGAUAUUGGUGACCCACUUUCUCUUGACAAGUCUACAAUUGAGAAAGCGCAGGUUAUCCAGGCUAGUGUUGCAGACUCGAGAGUGGAGAAUGACAAGGAUUUUGAAUCUCAGAAAGUUGUUGACAAGGCUCGUGAAGUAAGCAAUGAUGAUGCUAUUGCUAAGGGACUAGAAAAAGAAGAUGGAAAAAAUCCAGAAGCGCAGACAACUACUCAAGUGAAAAGGGUCCAGGAGAUUCAGCAAGCACAAGAACAUGCAUCAUCAUCUGCAAAAUCUACUGAUUCUGCACCUGCUCCUGCUCCUGCUCCUGCUCGUCCAGCUGGCUUAGGGCGUGCUGCCCCACUAUUGGAACCUGCACCUCGGGUGGUGCAGCAGCCUCGGGUAAAUGGUACUCUGUCUCAUAUGCAAAACCAGCAACUUGAGGAGCCUGUUAAUGGUGAUCCUGAGGAGCAUGGUGAAACUCGUGAGCAACUCCAAAUGAUAAGGGUGAAAUUUUUGCGGCUUGCUCAUAGGCUUGGGCAGACUCCUCAUAAUGUUGUUGUGGCUCAGGUUCUGUAUAGACUGGGGUUAGCUGAGCAGCUGCGUGGGAGAAAUGGGGGCCGUGUUGGUGCAUUUAGUUUUGAUCGUGCAAGUGCCAUGGCAGAGCAGCUUGAGGCCGCAGGGAAUGAACCCCUUGAUUUUUCUUGCACAAUUAUGGUUCUUGGAAAGACAGGGGUUGGUAAAAGUGCGACAAUCAAUUCCAUAUUUGAUGAAGUGAAAUUUGGCACUGAUGCUUUCCAGACGGGUACUAAGAGGGUUCAGGAUGUUGUGGGAACUGUGCAAGGGAUUAAGGUAAGGGUUAUUGAUACUCCAGGCCUUCUAUCGUCGUGGUCUGAUCAACGUCAAAAUGAGAAGAUUCUUCACUCUGUUAAGCGCUUUAUUAAGAAAACACCUCCAGAUAUUGUGUUGUAUCUUGAUAGGCUGGACAUGCAAAGCAGGGAUUUUAGUGAUAUGCCUCUCUUGCGUACUAUAACAGAGAUAUUUGGACCUUCUAUAUGGUUUAAUGCAAUUGUGGUACUGACUCAUGCUGCAUCUGCUCCACCUGAGGGCCCAAAUGGUACCGCUUCUAGUUAUGACAUGUUUGUCACUCAACGUUCUCAUGUUGUUCAGCAAGCCAUCCGUCAGGCAGCUGGUGAUAUGCGACUGAUGAAUCCUGUUUCAUUAGUGGAGAAUCACUCGGCAUGUAGAACAAAUAGGGCUGGGCAAAGAGUGUUGCCAAAUGGUCAGGUUUGGAAGCCGCAUUUGCUGCUGCUAUCUUUUGCAUCAAAAAUUCUAGCAGAAGCUAAUGCACUUUUGAAGUUGCAAGAUACUCCACCUGGAAAGCCUUAUUCAACUCGAUCUAGGGCACCUCCUUUACCUUUCCUUCUUUCAUCCCUGCUUCAAUCAAGACCACAAUUGAAGCUGCCCGAAGAGCAGUUUGGUGAUGAUGAUAGUGUAGAUGAUGAUCUAGAUGAAUCAUCAGAUUCUGAUGAUGAAUCAGAAUUUGAUGAGUUGCCGCCAUUUAAACGUUUGACCAAAGCCCAGCUGGCAAAGCUUUCCAAAGCUCAAAAGAAGGCGUAUUUUGAUGAAUUAGAGUAUAGGGAAAUGCUUUUCAUGAAGAGGCAAUUGAAAGAAGAGAGAAAGCGGCGAAAGUUGAUGAAAAAGAUGGCAGCUGCAGCAAAGGAUAUGCCAAGUGAUUAUGGUGAAAAUACAGAGGAAGAAAGUGCUGGUGCUGCAUCUGUUCCUGUUCCGAUGCCAGAUUUGGCCUUACCUGCUUCAUUUGAUUCUGAUAAUCCUACUCACCGCUAUCGCUAUCUUGAUUCUUCCAACCAGUGGCUUGUGAGGCCUGUUCUAGAAACUCAUGGUUGGGAUCAUGAUGUUGGUUAUGAAGGAAUAAAUGUUGAGCGAUUGUUUGUCGUGAAAGGCAAAAUACCCUUAUCCUUUUCUGGGCAAGUUACGAAGGAUAAGAAGGAUGCCAAUGUCCAAAUGGAAGUGGCAAGCUCAUUAAAGCAUGGAGAAGGCAAAGCAACUUCCUUAGGUUUUGAUAUGCAAACUGUUGGGAAGGAUUUGGCUUAUACGCUAAGAAGUGAGACAAAGUUUGCUAAUUUUAGGAAGAACAAGGCAACCGCUGGUAUCUCAGUUACUCUUUUAGGUGAUUCCUUGUCAGCUGGACUGAAAAUGGAAGACAAAUUAAUUGCCAACAAACGGUUCCAAUUGGUUGUGACUGGUGGUGCGAUGACUGGUCGAGGUGAUAUUGCUUGUGGUGGGAGCCUGGAGGCCCAGUUGAGAGAUAAAGAUUAUCCUCUGGGUCGUUCACUGUCAACUCUUGGACUUUCUAUCAUGGAUUGGCAUGGUGAUCUAGCUAUUGGAUGCAACAUACAAUCCCAGAUUCCAGUUGGGCGCUAUUCUAAUUUGAUUGCUCGUGCCAAUUUGAAUAAUAGAGGGGCUGGACAAGUUAGCAUUCGCUUAAAUAGCUCAGAACAGCUUCAAAUAGCUUUGGUGGGUCUUGUUCCUCUACUCAGAAAGUUACUCAGUUAUCAUCAGCAACCGCAGUUAGGGCAAUGAUGAAGGUUCGGUCAUAUAUGUGCUGUAGCAGCUUUGUGGUAAUAGGUCAUCAUCAAAGUGAAUGUGGCAUCUGUUGAUGGUCAUCACCAGAAGCCCUCAACCGUCCGUAGAGAAAUGGUCCCAGGGGAUUUGAUAGCCUCAUCCCUUGUGAUGGGGAAAUAGCUGUAUGUAUUUGUUGCCUUUUGGUCCUCAGUUGCAGUGUCCAGUUUCCAAGUUUCACGAAAAGAGAAUCUUGUGCACUUGAAGUGAAAGCUACUUUUUUUAAAUGAUUAGAAAAGGCCAUUUGGAAUGCUCUACCUAGUAGAGGCCCAAGGAUUUGUAAUUUUGGAGUGUCAGCAUCUUCCGGAUCUAUGUUAUUGUCAUACUUGGAUUCAUUACUGAUGUUGAAUUCUCAUAAAUUAUUGAAAAGCAUAGCGGGCCUUCAAAACAUUACAAAAUUACAGUCAACUUGUGGUUUUUUCUCUAAUGAUUUUUUUAAUGAAGUAAAUCGACUUCUAUUAUUAUUGCUUAUGUAAAGAGUAUAAAAUAUCUUAGUCAACACUCAACUGUAAACUUUCUUGGAUUGGGCCGAAAGGUAAAAGGCUUUAUUUAUUUA